ACUUUUGGAACAAGUAUUUCGACAAUAUUCAUAAACACUUGCUUUCCACACAUAAUAAUUGCUAACUGUAUUGAAAGUUCGCUUAAACAACCUGCUGGAUCACAUUGCUGCAUAGCAAUACCAGACAUAAGAUUCCAGCGUCCAUGAUCGCCAGGAUGUGUGUAAAACUUCCCUUUGAAGAAUGCUACGUACACUAAUGCAGAGUAGUAAUUAAUAAAUGACAGAAUAUAGAUUUUUAUAGUGUAACUCUUGCUAUACUCUGCACGUGUUCUAGGAUUCUCUAAAUCAGUCAAGAUUAAAGCUAGCUUUUGAUAUACCUGUAAAAACAGAAAAUUCAGAUCAACGUUGAAAUAUCUUUUAUCACGUUACAGGGAGUCCAAAUCUGUACUUACAAAUUCCAGUGCCAAUAUGAAGAUCAAAUUUAAAAAUGAAGCAAUAACAAUUGCUAUUAUUGAACUGUUCCAGCGAAGGAUUUGGUUGUGGCUAACUCUCAAAAAGAAAUUCUAGAGUGAUUGCUCAGCUCUGAAAAAAAAUCUAGUAAUGAAUUAUCUUGUCAUACGUACCAGUACCAUGAUGAGGCUGACAGAUAACGCUAUUUGCCAGGUCUUACGAAAUGCAUCAUGCUCCAGAUGAACCUUUUUUGUCAGUGAAUUAUACCGAUACUUGGUUGCUGCUUUUUCAAACUGUGGUCGAAUGUCGUGGUCUAUUAUUGUGUCACGAAGAUUCCAGUACCAACUUAAAAUUGAUAACUUUCGCUUCCACAUUUUGUUGAAGAUUGUUGCUAUUGAAAUUGACCCAUCAAUGAUAUGUUUAUUGUAAUAAUGUAUAAAAAACGACGCAACUUAGAACAGUAUAUCGACAUGAUUGAUUUGAUCUCUAUACCCCAUAAUGCCAUAAAUGCUGAAUAAAAAACUGUCAUAUUGUUAUCAGCGAUAUGCGAAAUUUUUGUGUACGAACAAGAGUCAGAUAUUUUGUAUGCAGAACAGUGGUUUUCGUCCGGACACCGUCCACACAUUUUUUCCACACUUGAACACAACUCAUCUCUGUAUGUAAACGAGUUGUUUGUUAAUUUUAAAUAGGAACAGUUAUUAGGUAAUCCGAUUUCAUUAAUUUAAUAUUUUCAUGAUGGCAUAGUCUUACACAAAUGAGUUACUUCCAUGUAAAGUAGUAAGUCCAAAAAUGAAUGUGGCAAUUCCUACAACAGUUGGAAAUAGCAGCAUUCGAUUGUAAAACGCCAGCCAAGUGAAGUAAAGACCAACUUCGCAACCGAAGUAGAGGCAAAUUAAAUUCAAUGGUUGAUAUUUAAAUGUCGCCUUAGGACUGCCCCACUCAUGAUACAGAAUCUGUUGAUGAGAUACAAUGUGAAUAAUUCAUUUUCAAAUAUGGUAAUAAAAGUUUAAAAAUGUAAGCAUGUGAAAUGGAAUUUCAUGCCAUGAAAUUAUAAAUUUGUCAUAUA